rnacentral:misc_RNA from 1 species
UCUCCGUAGGUGAACCUGCGGAGGGAUCAUUACAGAGUUCAUGCCCUAACGGGUAGAUCUCCCACCCUAUGUUAUCAUCACUUUGUUGCUUUGGCGGGCCGUCAGGCCUCGGCUUGGCUACCGGCUCUCGCUGGUAAGCGCCCGCCAGAGAACCCCAAACCCUGAAUAACAGUGUCGUCUGAGUACUAUAUAAUAGUUAAAACUUUCAACAACGGAUCUCUAGGUUCUG